rnacentral:misc_RNA from 1 species
GAUGAAGAACGCAGCAAAAUGCGAUAAGUAAUGUGAAUUGCAGAAUUCAGUGAAUCAUCGAAUCUUUGAACGCACAUUGCGCCCGCUGGUAUUCCGGCGGGCAUGCCUGUUCGAGCGUCAUUUCAACCCUCAAGCCCCCCGGGUUUGGUGUUGGGGAUCGGCUCUGCCUCACGGCGGUGCCGCCCCCGAAAUACAUUGGCGGUCUCGCUGCAGCCUCCAUUGCGUAGUAGCUAACACCUCGCAACUGGAACGCGGCGCGGCCAUGCCGUAAAACCCCAACUUCUGAAUGUUGACCUCGGAUCAGGUAGGAAUACCCGCUGAACUUAAGCAUAUCAUAAGCGGAGGA